rnacentral:rRNA from 1 species
AUUGAACGCUGGCGGCAUGCCUUACACAUGCAAGUCGAACGGCAGCACGGGUGCUUGCACCUGGUGGCGAGUGGCGAACGGGUGAGUAAUACAUCGGAACGUACCUUAUCGUGGGGGAUAACGCAGCGAAAGCUGUGCUAAUACCGCAUACGCCCUGAGGGGGAAAGCGGGGGAUCGAAAGACCUCGCGCGAUUAGAGCGGCCGAUGCCUGAUUAGCUUGUUGGUGGGGUAAAAGCCCACCAAGGCGACGAUCAGUAGCUGGUCUGAGAGGACGAUCAGCCACACUGGGACUGAGACACGGCCCAGACUCCUACGGGAGGCAGCAGUGGGGAAUUUUGGACAAUGGGGGCAACCCUGAUCCAGCAAUGCCGCGUGAGUGAAGAAGGCCUUCGGGUUGUAAAGCUCUUUUGUCAGGGAAGAAACACCGGCUCUAACACAGUCCGGGAAUGACGGUACUGUAAGAAUAAGCACCGGCUAACUACGUGCCAGCCGCCGCGGUAA